GACGAACGCUGGCGGCGUGCUUAACACAUGCAAGUCGAACGGAAAGGCCUGCUUUCCCUUGUGGAUUGCGGGUACUCGAGUGGCGAACGGGUGAGUAACACGUGAGUGAUCUGCCCCCAACUUGGGUAUAAGCCUGGGAAACUGGGUCUAAUUCCCGAUAGGACUGCAGGGUGGUGCCUGUGGUGGAAAACGAUUUUCUAGUGGUUGGGGAUGAGCUCGCGGCCUAUCAGCUUGUUGGUGGGGUAAUGGCCUACCAAGGCGGCGACGGGUAGCCGGCCUGGGAGGGUGGACGGCCACAUUGGGACUGAGACACGGCCCAGACUCCUACGGGAGGCAGCAGUGGGGAAUAUUACACAAUGGGCGGAAGCCUGAUGCAGCGACGCCGCGUGGGGGAUGACGGCCUUCGGGUUGUAAACUCCUUUCGACCGCGAGGAAGCCACCUGGUUGGAAGGGUGGUGACGGUAGUGGUAGAAGAAGCACCGGCUAACUACGUG
rnacentral:rRNA from 1 species